CAGUAGCCACGGUAAUACGAAGGGUGCAAGCGUUAAUCGGAAUUACUGGGCGUAAAGCGUGCGUAGGCGGAGAGUUAAGUCUGCUGUGAAAUCCCCGGGCUCAACCUGGGAAUGGCAGUGGAUACUGGCUCGCUAGAGUGUGUCAGAGGAUGGUGGAAUUCCCGGUGUAGCGGUGAAAUGCGUAGAGAUCGGGAGGAACAUCAGUGGCGAAGGCGGCCAUCUGGGACAACACUGACGCUGAGGCACGAAAGCGUGGGGAGCAAACAGGAUUAGAGACCCGUGUAGUCCCUGUCUCUUAUAC
rnacentral:rRNA from 1 species